CCUACGGGUGGCAGCAGUGGGGAAUAUUGGACAAUGGGCGAAAGCCUGAUCCAGCCAUGCCGCGUGUGUGAAGAAGGCCUUCGGGUUGUAAAGCACUUUCAGUGGGGAAGAAAGCCUUGGGGCUAAUACCCUCGAGGAAGGACAUCACCCACAGAAGAAGCACCGGCUAACUCCGUGCCAGCAGCCGCGGUAAUACGGAGGGUGCGAGCGUUAAUCGGAAUUACUGGGCGUAAAGCGCGCGUAGGCGGUCUGAUAAGCCGGUUGUGAAAGCCCUGGGCUCAACCUGGGAACGGCAUCCGGAACUGUCAGGCUAGAGUGCAGGAGAGGAAGGUAGAAUUCCCGGUGUAGCGGUGAAAUGCGUAGAGAUCGGGAGGAAUACCAGUGGCGAAGGCGGCCUUCUGGACUGACACUGACGCUGAGGUGCGAAAGCGUGGGUAGCAAACAGGAUUAGAUACCCUAGUAGUC
rnacentral:rRNA from 1 species